rnacentral:rRNA from 1 species
AGUGAACGCUGGCGGUAGGCCUAACACAUGCAAGUCGAACGGCAGCACAGUAAGAGCUUGCUCUUACGGGUGGCGAGUGGCGGACGGGUGAGGAAUACAUCGGAAUCUACUUUUUCGUGGGGGAUAACGUAGGGAAACUUACGCUAAUACCGCAUACGACCUACGGGUGAAAGCAGGGGAUCUUCGGACCUUGCGCGAUUGAAUGAGCCGAUGUCGGAUUAGCUAGUUGGCGGGGUAAAGGCCCACCAAGGCGACGAUCCGUAGCUGGUCUGAGAGGAUGAUCGGCCACCCUGGAACUUAGCCACGGUCAAGACGCCUAAGGGAGGCAGCAGUGGGGAAUAUUGGACAAUGGGCGCAAGCCUGAUCCAGCCAUACCGCGUGGGUGAAGAAGGCCUUCGGGUUGUAAAGCCCUUUUGUUGGGAAAGAAAAGCAGCAGGUUAAUACCCCGCUGUUCUGACGGUACCCAAAGAAUAAGCACCGGCUAACUUCGUG